rnacentral:rRNA from 1 species
UCGCUGUGAAGAUGCAGUGUACCCGCGGCAAGACGGAAAGACCCCGUGAACCUUUACUAUAGCUUGACACUGAACAUUGAGCCUUGAUGUGUAGGAUAGGUGGGAGGCUUUGAAGCGUGGACGCCAGUCUGCGUGGAGCCGACCUUGAAAUACCACCCUUUAAUGUUUGAUGUUCUAACGUGGAUCCGUAAUCCGGGUUGCGGACAGUGUCUGGUGGGUAGUUUGACUGGGGCGGUCUCCUCCUAAAGAGUAACGGAGGAGCACGAAGGUUGGCUAAUCCUGGUCGGACAUCAGGAGGUUAGUGCAAUGGCAUAAGCCAGCUUGACUGCGAGCGUGACGGCGCGAGCAGGUGCGAAAGCAGGUCAUAGUGAUCCGGUGGUUCUGAAUGGAAGGGCCAUCGCUCAACGGAUAAAAGGUACUCCGGGGAUAACAGGCUGAUACCGCCCAAGAGUUCAUAUCGACGGCGGUGUUUGGCACCUCGAUGUCGGCUCAUCACAUCCUGGGGCUGAAGUAGGUCCCAAGGGUAUGGCUGUUCGCCAUUUAAAGUGGUACGCGAGCUGGGUUUAGAACGUCGUGAGACAGUUCGGUCCCUAUCUGCCGUGGGCGCUGGAGAACUGAGGGGGGCUGCUCCUAGUACGAGAGGACCGGAGUGGACGCAUCACUGGUGUUCGGGUUGUCAUGCCAAUGGCACUGCCCGGUAGCUAAAUGCGGAAGAGAUAAGUGCUGAAAGCAUCUAAGCACGAAACUUGCCCCGA